rnacentral:rRNA from 1 species
GAUGAACGCUGGCGGCGUGCCUAAUACAUGCAAGUCGAGCGAACAGACGAGGAGCUUGCUCCUCUGACGUUAGCGGCGGACGGGUGAGUAACACGUGGAUAACCUACCUAUAAGACUGGGAUAACUUCGGGAAACCGGAGCUAAUACCGGAUAAUAUAUUGAACGGCAUGGUUCAAUAGUGAAAGACGGUUUUGCUGUCACUUAUAGAUGGAUCCGCGCCGCAUUAGCUAGUUGGUAAGGUAACGGCUUACCAAGGCAACGAUGCGUAGCCGACCUGAGAGGGUGAUCGGCCACACUGGAACUGAGACACGGGCCAGACUCCUACGGGAGGCAGCAGUAGGGAAUCUUCCGCAAUGGGCGAAAGCUUGACGGAGCAACGCCGCGUGAGUGAUGAAGGUCUUCGGAUCGUAAAGCUCUGUUAUUAGGGAAGAACAAAUGUGUAAGUAACUAUGCACGUCAUGACGGUACCUAAUCAGAAAGCCACGGCUAACUACGUG